rnacentral:rRNA from 1 species
GAGCGAACGCUGGCGGCAGGCUUAACACAUGCAAGCCGAGCGGGCGUAGCAAUACGUCAGCGGCAGACGAGUGAGUAACACGUGGGAACGUACCUUUUGGUUCGGAACAACACAGGGAAACUUGUGCUAAUACCGGAUAAGCCCUUACGGGGAAAGAUUUAUCGCCAAAAGAUCGGCCCGCGUCUGAUUAGCUUGUUGGUGAGGUAACGGCUCACCAAGGCGACGAUCAGUAGCUGGCUGAGAGGAUGAUCAGCCACACUGGGACUGAGACACGGCCCAGACUCCUACGGGAGGCAGCAGUGGGGAAUAUUGGACAAUGGGCGAAGGCCUGAUCCAGCCAUGCCGCGUGAGUGAUGAAGGCCCUAGGGUUGUAAAGCUCUUUGUGCGGGAAGAUAAUGACGGUACCGCAAGAAUAACGCCCCGGCUAACUUCGUGCCAGCCGCCGCCGUAAU